rnacentral:sRNA from 1 species
CACGGCCGGGUCCUGCGCCUCGGGGAUCGGCGUCCAGGCUCGGAGCGCGACACGGAGACAAGGUGGCAGGCACAACGAGGCCCUCUUGGAGGAGGCGAAGAUGAUGAACAGACUGAGACACAGCCGGGUGGUGAAGCUCCUGGGCGUCAUCAUAGAGGAAGGGAAGUACUCCCUGGUGAUGGAGUACAUGGAGAAGGGCAACCUGAUGCACGUGCUGAAAGCCGAGAUGAGUACUCCGCUUUCUGUAAAAGGAAGGAUAAUUUUGGAAAUCAUUGAAGGAAUGUGCUACUUACAUGGAAAAGGCGUGAUACACAAGGACCUGAAGCCUGAAAAUAUCCUUGUUGAUAAUGACUUCCACAUUAAGAUCGCAGACCUCGGCCUUGCCUCCUUUAAGAUGUGGAGCAAACUGAAUAAUGAAGAGCACAAUGAGCUGAGGGAAGUGGACGGCACCGCUAGGAAGAAUGGCGGCACCCUCUACUACAUGGCGCCCGAGCACCUGAAUGACGUCAACGCAAAGCCCACAGAGAAGUCGGAUGUGUACAGCUUUGCUGUAGUACUCUGGGCGAUAUUUGCAAAUAAGGAGCCAUAUGAAAAUGCUAUCUGUGAGCAGCAGUUGAUAAUGUGCAUAAAAUCUGGGAACAGGCCAGAUGUGGAUGACAUCACUGAGUACUGCCCAAGAGAAAUUAUCAGUCUCAUGAAGCUCUGCUGGGAAGCGAAUCCGGAAGCUCGGCCGACAUUUCCUGGCAUUGAAGAAAAAUUUAGGCCUUUUUAUUUAAAUCAAUUAGAAGAAAGUGUAGAAGAGGACGUGAAGAGUUUAAAGAAAGAGUAUUCAAACGAAAAUGCAGUUGUGAAGAGAAUGCAGUCUCUUCAACUUGAUUGUGUGGCAGUACCUUCAAGCCGGUCAAAUUCAGCCACAGAGCAGCCUGGUUCACUGCACAGUUCCCAGGGACUUGGGAUGGGUCCUGUGGAGGAGUCCUGGUUUGCCCCCUCCCUGGAGCACCCACAAGAAGAGAAUGAGCCCAGCCUGCAGAGUAAACUCCAAGACGAAGCCAACUACCAUCUUUAUGGCAGCCGCAUGGACAGGCAGACGAAACAGCAGCCCAGACAGAAUGUGGCUUACAACAGAGAGGAGGAAAGGAGACGCAGGGUCUCCCAUGACCCUUUUGCACAGCAAAGACCUUACGAGAAUUUUCAGAAUAUGGAGGGAAAAGGCACUGCUUAUUCCAGUGCAGCCAGUCAUGGUAAUGCAGUGCACCAGCCCUCAGGGCUCACCAGCCAACCUCAAGUACUGUAUCAGAACAAUGGAUUAUAUAGCUCACAUGGCUUUGGAACAAGACCACUGGAUCCAGGAACAGCAGGUCCCAGAGUUUGGUACAGGCCAAUUCCAAGUCAUAUGCCUAGUCUGCAUAAUAUCCCAGUGCCUGAGACCAACUAUCUAGGAAAUACACCCACCAUGCCAUUCAGCUCCUUGCCACCAACAG